CAGUGCCUUUCAUUCAAGUAGCAGAACACUCUGGAAAGUGUGGCCAUAGCGGGUGACAGCCCCGUAUGCGAAACUGAUGUGAAAGGACUCGAGUAGGGCGGGACACGUGUAAUCCUGUCUGAACAUGGGGGGACCACCCUCCAAGCCUAAAUACUCGUACAUGACCGAUAGCGAACUAGUACCGUGAGGGAAAGGUGAAAAGCACCCCGAUGAGGGGAGUGAAACAGUACCUGAAACGGAUUGCCUACAAGCAGUAGGAGCCUCUUUAUGGGGUGACUGCGUACCUCUUGCAUAAUGGGUCUGUGACUUAAUGUUUCAAGCAAGCUUAAGCCGAUAGGUGUAGGCGCAGCGAAAGCGAGUCUGAAUAGGGCGACAUAGUUUGAAGUAUUAGACCCGAAACCCGGCGAUCUAUGCAUGACCAGGAUGAAGGUGCGGUAACACGCACUGGAGGUCCGAACCGAUUAACGUUGAAAAGUUACCGGAUGAGUUGUGCUUAGGGGUGAAAGGCCAAUCAAGCCGGGAAAUAGCUGGUUCUCCGCGAAAACUAUUGAGGUAGUGCCUCGAGCGGACACCAUAGGGGGUAGAGCACUGGAUGGUUGCGGGGGUCGCGAGAUCUACCAAUACUAACCAAACUCCGAAUACCUAUGAGUGAUACUCGGGAGACAGACGGCGGGUGCUAAGGUCCGUCGUCAAAAGGGAAACAGCCCUGACCUACAGCUAAGGUCCCCAAGUCGUGUCUAAGUGGGAAAGCAUGUGGAAAUCCCAAAACAACCAGGAGGUUGGCUUAGAAGCAGCCAUCCUUUAAAGAAAGCGUAACAGCUCACUGGUCUAAACAAGGGUUUCUGCGGCGAAGAUGUAACGGGGCUCAAGACACGCACCGAAGCUUAGGGUGUGCACUUUGUACACGCGGUAGCGGAGCGUUCCGUAAGCCUGCGAAGCGAUCUGGUAAUGGGUCGUGGAGGUAUCGGAAGUGCGAAUGCAGACAUGAGUAGCGAUAAAGAGGGUGAGAUGCCCUCUCGCCGAAAGACCAAGGGUUCCUGCGCAAGGCUAAUCCGCGCAGGGUGAGCCGGCCCCUAAGACGAGCCCGAAGGGGGUAGUCGAUGGGAACCACGUUAAUAUUCGUGGGCCUGGUGGUGAGUGACGGAUCCCGUGUGUUGUUCGAUCUUAUCGGAUUGAUCGAGCCUCGAAGGGGUCCCAGGAAAUAGCCCCACCGUAUAGACCGUACCCGAAACCGACACAGGUGGUCAGGUAGAGUAUACCAAGGCGCUUGAGAGAAGUGUCCUGAAGGAACUCGGCAAAUUGCCUCCGUACCUUCGGAAGAAGGAGGCCCCACAUGAGCGCAAGCUUUUGUGGGGGGCACAGGCCAGGGGGUAGCGACUGUUUAGCAAAAACACAGGGCUCUGCUAAGUCGGCUUCAAGACGACGUAUAGGGCCUGACGCCUGCCCGGUGCCUGAAGGUUAAGUGGAGGAGUGCAAGCUCUGAAAUGAAGCCCAGGUAAACGGCGGCCGUAACUAUAACGGUCCUAAGGUAGCGAAAUUCCUUGUCGGGUAAGUUCCGACCUGCACGAAUGGCGUAACGACUUCCCCACUGUCUCCAGGACAUGCUCAGCGAAAUUGAAUUCUCCGUGAAGAUGCGGAGUACCCGCGGUUAGACGGAAAGACCCCGUGCACCUUUACUGCAGCUUCAGAGUGGCAUUGGACAAGAACUGUGUAGCAUAGGUGGGAGGCUUUGAAGCAUUGGCGCCAGCCGAUGUGGAGCCAUAGGUGAAAUACCACCCUGUUGUUGUUUAAUGUCUAACCUCGUACCGUGAAACCG
rnacentral:rRNA from 1 species